UGAAUGGUGUUCUGGUUCAUGCUGACUCCCCUUCAGGCCUUUCCUACUUCUAUCAAUCCAUUUAUUUACAGUGGCGGGCUCUCCCUCUCCCAGCAAGGGGCCCAAUGCCUCGUCCUGGCUUUGGGACUGUUUCCAUGGUAACACAAAACACUGGAAGAACUCUGAGCUGGGAUAUAACCCUAAAUGCAACACUUUCUGCUGCAAACUGUCCCCAUAGCGAUGGUUGCCAGGCAAACAGUGAGACGCACGCCCAGGUUGCAGCCUCUACUGUCAAUUAAUGGUGUCUGCAGACUCUACGAGCAACAUGAGGCUUUGGAGAUAGAGAGAGAGACAAGAGGACAUGGGAUAAACAUGGCUCUUCUCGUUUCUGUGUUGGUGCUCUCCUUCUUGCCGGAAGUGUUCCUUUCCCUAGCCCCCCGAGGGAAUGUUCUGCUGAUCUCCAGUCUGACUGCUGGGCUACUUCUGUUCUUCCUUGCUUUGGGCUUGUAUUUUACAUUAAAGUGCCGAAUCCAGGCCAAGAAACCAGAAGUUUCUCUGGAAAUGUCCGAUCCCAUUUGCAGCACCUCUGCCCCUGCCCGGAGAGAGUUCUUUACACAGCCCGUCGGCAGUGAAAUGAUCUAUUCAAAACUGCAGUGGAGCAAGUCCAGCGUAAGUGCUGAUCUCUGUGCUGAAAGUGCUCAGAUGUCAUUCCAGUCCCAGCGGAGUCACUCUGAUAACUAAUGUAGAUGAUGAGAGCAGUAACUUUUUGUACUUCUGUAGCAUCUGCG
rnacentral:lncRNA from 1 species